rnacentral:rRNA from 1 species
GAUGAACGCUGGCGGCGUGCUUAACACAUGCAAGUCGAACGGAAAGGCCAGUGCUUGCACUGGUACUCGAGUGGCGAACGGGUGAGUAACACGUGGGUGAUCUGCCCUGCACUUCGGGAUAAGCCUGGGAAACUGGGUCUAAUACCGGAUAGGACAAUGGUUUGGAUGCCGUUGUGGAAAGUUUUUUCGGUGUGGGAUGAGCUCGCGGCCUAUCAGCUUGUUGGUGGGGUAAUGGCCUACCAAGGCGUCGACGGGUAGCCGGCCUGAGAGGGUGUACGGCCACAUUGGGACUGAGAUACGGCCCAGACUCCUACGGGAGGCAGCAGUGGGGAAUAUUGCACAAUGGGCGCAAGCCUGAUGCAGCGACGCCGCGUGGGGGAUGACGGCCUUCGGGUUGUAAACUCCUUUCGCUAGGGACGAAGCGUAUUUGUGACAGUACCUGGAGAAGAAGCACCGGCUAACUACGUG